UGGGGAAUUUUGGACAAUGGGCGAAAGCCUGAUCCAGCAAUGCCGCGUGUGUGAAGAAGGCCUUCGGGUUGUAAAGCACUUUUGUCCGGAAAGAAAUCCUUGGCUCUAAUACAGUCGGGGGAUGACGGUACCGGAAGAAUAAGCACCGGCUAACUACGUGCCAGCAGCCGCGGUAAUACGUAGGGUGCAAGCGUUAAUCGGAAUUACUGGGCGUAAAGCGUGCGCAGGCGGUUUGCUAAGACCGAUGUGAAUCCCCGGGGCUCAACCUGGGAACUGCAUUGGUGACUGGCAGGCUAGAGUAUGGCAGAGGGGGUAGAAUUCCACGUGUAGCAGUGAAAUGCGUAGAGAUGUGGAGGAAUACCGAUGGCGAAGGCAGCCCCCUGGGCCAAUACUGACGCUCAUGCACGAAAGCGUGGGGAGCAAACAGGAUUAGAUACCCUGGGUAGUCCACGCCCUAAACGAUGUCAACUAG
rnacentral:rRNA from 1 species